AGUGAACGCUGGCGGCAGGCCUAACACAUGCAAGUCGAACGGCAGCACAGGAGAGCUUGCUCUCUGGGUGGCGAGUGGCGGACGGGUGAGGAAUACGUCGGAAUCUGCCUAUUUGUGGGGGAUAACGUAGGGAAACUUACGCUAAUACCGCAUACGACCUACGGGUGAAAGCGGAGGACCUUCGGGCUUCGCGCAGAUAGAUGAGCCGACGUCGGAUUACGCUUGNGGCGGGGUAAAGGGCCCACCAAGGCGACGAUCCGUAGCUGGUCUGAGAGGAUGAUCAGCCACACUGGAACUGAGACACGGUCCAGACUCCUACGGGAGGCAGCAGUGGGGAAUAUUGGACAAUGGGCGCAAGCCUGAUCCAGCCAUGCCGCGUGUGUGAAGAAGGCCUGG
rnacentral:rRNA from 1 species